CUUCUCCCUUCUUGCCCAACUUCACAGUGCUCAGAUCCUCUCGGGUCUUUGUUUCUGUUGCAAGUCCAGAGGGUGAGCUGUUGUUUCCAUGACAACCACCCACACAUGGAUAUCUGAGGUCAUGUGUGCACAAAGGAAGGAGCAAGCCGGCCAUGAUGACAUACAUGUUUCCUGCGUCUGUAACCCUGCGGAUCUUGAUUCAACUCGGCUCCCGCUGAACACGCAGGCUUACUCCUGCCUUCGAGGUUCUUCUUCCCGCUCGGUGCAUGGUAUGGAAUAAGAUAUUCAGGAGCUGCUUGGGGAUUUCAGAGA